CUACCUUAGUUUGAGUUUCUGUUGCUGCAAAGAGACACCAUGACUGAGAGGCAUUAAAAAGAAUCGAACAAAAAUCUGGCAAGCAGCAACAUUUAGAUGCCCCUGCCAUAGAAAUUGCACAAUAUGGACACAUAUUAACAUGUAUGUACAGGUGUAAGCAUAUUUUAGGGAGAUAAUACAAUAGUAUUUUAAGGUGUUCAACAUAGUUCAUCACAUACAAUCUCACCAUGACUCCAGAUGCUUUGUCUUUGCCCAUGCUGUGUCCGUUAGCCCUUUCCAAUGAGUUCACACCAUAAAGAAGCUUUUAGUGGCAGGGCAGGCUAGAGUGAACAUAAGAAAAAUAUGGACAUUGUAGUUCAACAAACAGGUCAGAAUUAGCUACAGAUGGACACCACUUUACAAUACAGUAUGUUCCCAUUUUAUUGAGAUCUUCAGAAGCUUAUUGCAUAAUUCAGUGAGGGUAUUUUUUUUGUGGGCUACUAACAGUACUUCAGGACUUUUACAAAUCUUUUAAUUUUUUUAAUGGAGACUUCAUAUUCUUCAGUAAAAUCCUUUCAUAGGCUUUUCAUAGAUCCAGAUAGCUUCCCAUGCAGUUCAUCUCUCUAAAAUGUGCGAAACACAUGGUGGCCCUUGAGAGUUGCUAAUGUCCUAACCUUGGGAACGGUUUCAUGCUACAUUUCACGGUUAAAGGGACAUUGCCAAUGUGCUGAAGAUUUUGACAUGGAGAAAAUUAUCCUGGGUUGUUCAGAUAGGAUCAAAGAAAUCACAAAGAUUGGAGAGGGAGGAAGAGGGCCAGAGUCUCAGAAGACACUGACAUUGGAACCAAUGAAGGGGAGAUUGGAUAUGAUGGUGGAAGCAAUGACCCAUGGAAGAUGAUGCUGCUGCCAUGAAGAUGGAAGGCGGGAGCCACAAAGUGAGGAAUACAGGAAUUCUGGGGGAAAGCAAGAAAAAAAAACCCCACAUCUUCAGAGGAAGCAUAGGCCAGCCAACACCUUAAUUUCAGCCCAUUGAAAUAAACUUUGAAGUUCUUAACUCUCAGACAGA